rnacentral:tRNA from 1 species
GAUGGCACGUAAGCAUGCCUGUGAACA